rnacentral:ncRNA from 2 species
UUCCUCUCAGCGGAAGAGUCCGGUUUGGCUUUAGGCCGAGCCGGCGCCGAAGGCGCAACCGCCCCGGAAACGCUCAGGCCCACGGACCGCUGAGAGUUG